rnacentral:rRNA from 1 species
GGUGAAUGCUGGCGGCGUGGAUAAGUCAUGCAAGUCAAGGGGGCCCGCAAGGGCAACCGGCAAACGAGGUAGUAACACGUAGGUAGACCCCCCAGAGUCGGGCGAUAGCCAGCCGAAAGGUUGGGUAAUUCCCGAUAGUCCCGAAAGGGUAAAGGUUUUUCGUCUCUGGGAGGUUGCCUGCGUAGUAUCAGCUAGUUGGUAGGGUAAUGGCCUACCAAGGCUACGACGCUUAGGGGAGCUGAGAGGCUGACCCCCACCGAUGGAACUGCGACACGGUCCAUACUCCUACGGGAGGCUGCAGACGAGAAUAUUCCGCAAUGGGCGAAAGCCUGACGGAGCGACGCCGCGUGAUUGAUGAAGUGCUUCGGUACGUAAAGAUCUUUUAUCGGGGACGAAGUUUAUUGACGGUACCCGAUGAAUAAGGGGCUCCUAACUCUGUGCCAGCAGCCGCGGUAA